rnacentral:rRNA from 1 species
UACAGAGGGUGCAAGCGUUAAUCGGAAUUACUGGGCGUAAAGCGUGCGUAGACGGUUAUUUAAGUCAGGUGUGAGAGCCCCGGGCUCAACCUGGGAAUUGCAUUUGAGACUGAAUAGCUAGGGUGCGGAAGAGGGAAGCGGAAUUUCCGGUGUAGCGGUGAAAUGCGUAGAUAUCGGAAGGAACACCAGUGGCGAAAGCGGCUUCCUGGUCCAGCACCGACGUUCAGGCACGAAAGCGUGGGGAGCAAACAGG